ACGGCGAGUGAAGCGGGACUAGCUCAGGAUGUGAAUCUGCGCUUUUAUGGCGCCGAAUUGUGGUCUGUAGACUUUGACAUUAUCUGCCGGGCCAAGUUCCUUGGAAAAGGACAGCUGAGAGGGUGAGACUCCCGUCCGCCUGGUGGAGUGAGUCAUUUGUCAACGAGUCGAGUUGUUUGGGAUUGCAGCUCUAAUUUGGUGGUAAAUUCCAUCUAAAGCUAAAUAUUGGUGGGAGACCGAUAGCGUACAAGUACCGUGAGGGAAAGAUGCAAAGAACUUUGAAAAGAGAGUUAAAGAGUACCUGAAACUGCUGAAACGGAAGCGAAGGAAACCAGUGUUUGUUGGUUCAUAUUUCCCCGGCCACUUGUGGUUUGGGCGCUGUGAGCUUGCGUGAGUUUGGGUUGGUUGAAUCCUUUGGAAGAGCGCAGUCAGAGUUGAUGUCUGUUGCUAGC
rnacentral:rRNA from 1 species